rnacentral:rRNA from 1 species
GGCGAACGCUGGCGGCGUGCUUAACACAUGCAAGUCGAGCGGUAAGGCCCUUUCGGGGGUACGACGAGCGGCGAACGGGUGAGUAACACGUGGGUGACCUGCCCUCAGCUCUGGGAGUAAGCCUGGGAAACCGGGUCUAAUACUGGAUAUGACUCCAUGACGCAUGUUGUGGGGUGGAAAGCCUUGUGCGGCUGAGGAUGGGCCCGCGGCCUAUCAGCUUGUUGGUGGGGUGAANGGCCUACCAAGGCGACGACGGGUAGCCGGCCUGAGAGGGCGACCGGCCACACUGGGACUGAGACACGGCCCAGACUCCUACGGGAGGCAGCAGUGGGGAAUCUUGCGCAAUGGGCGAAAGCCUGACGCAGCGACGCCGCGUGAGGGAUGACGGCCU